rnacentral:lncRNA from 1 species
UUCUCGGCACCGGUCGAUAGAUGUGCGAGGCGGUGGAGACCGGUGAUGUCAUGGGAAGGCUGUGGUGACUGGAAUCACUGAGCUCGGAUGCCGAGGGGCUUCCUGGGCUCAAGCAGAGCCCGGCGCCGCUCGAAGAAAUAGCCGGACCGUCGCUGCUCGUUCUUUUCAACGGCCGCGCCGCCACGACGUCGUCGUCGGGGUGGUGGCGGAACCCGCCAUCGCCGGCGGAAGAGGAGGCACAGUACCUUCGCUUGAGGGUGGAGUUCCAGUGGUUCUUAACGGCGUUGUCCGUCCGACCCGAGAGGAGGCGAGCGAUGGUGGCCCACUUGUUUCCGAAACG